GAUGAACGCUGGCGGCGUGCCUAAUACAUGCAAGUCGAGCGAACAGACGAGGAGCUUGCUCCUCUGACGUUAGCGGCGGACGGGUGAGUAACACGUGGAUAACCUACCUAUAAGACUGGGAUAACUUCGGGAAACCGGAGCUAAUACCGGAUAAUAUAUUGAACCGCAUGGUUCAAUAGUGAAAGACGGUUUUGCUGUCACUUAUAGAUGGAUCCGCGCCGCAUUAGCUAGUUGGUAAGGUAACGGCUUACCAAGGCAACGAUGCGUAGCCGACCUGAGAGGGUGAGCGGCCACACUGGAACUGAGACACGGUCCAGACUCCUACGGGAGGCAGCAGUAGGGAAUCUUCCGCAAUGGGCGAAAGCCUGACGGAGCAACGCCGCGUGAGUGAUGAAGGUCUUCGGAUCGUAAAACUCUGUUAUUAGGGAAGAACAAAUGUGUAAGUAACUAUGCACGUCUUGACGGUACCUAAUCAGAAAGCCACGGCUAAAUACGUG
rnacentral:rRNA from 1 species